GACGGAGAGUUUGAUCCUGGCUCAGAGCGAACGCUGGCGGCGUGGAUAAGGCAUGCAAGUCGCGCGAUCCCCGCAAGGGGAUAGCGGCUAACGGGUGCGUAACGCGUGGGGAACUUGUCCUGGAGACAGGGAUAGCACUGCGAAAGCGGUGGUAAUACCUGAUAAGCCCAGAGCCUCGCAUGGGGUGACGGGCAAAGAUGGCCUCGACCGCAAGGUUGCUAUCGCUUCAGGAGGGCCCCGCGUCCCAUCAGCUAGUUGGUAGGGUCACGGCCUACCAAGGCGUGGACGGGUAGCUGGCCUGAGAGGGUGGUCAGCCACACUGGGACUGAGACACUGCCCAGACUCCUACGGGAGGCUGCAGUCGAGAAUCUUUGGCAAUGGGCGAAAGCCUGACCAUGCGACGCCGCGUGCGGGAUGAAGGCUUUCGGGUCGUAAACCGCUGUUACGAGGGACGAAGUCCGGCCCGUCAAACAAACGGGCGGGAUUGACGGUACCUCGAGAGAAAGCCACGGCUAACUCCGUGCCAGCAGCCGCGGUAAUACGGAGGUGGCAAGCGUUGCUCGGAUUCAUUGGGUGUAAAGGGCAAGUAGGCGGCUUCGCAAGUCGGGUGUGAAAUCCCACGGCUUAACCGUGGAACUGCGCCCGAAACUGCGGGGCUUGAGGACGGGAGAGGCGAAUGGAAUUCCCGGUGUAAGGGUGAAAUCUGUAGAGAUCGGGAGGAACACCAGUGGCGAAGGCGAUUCGCUGGACCGUUUCUGACGCUGAGAGGCGAAAGCUAGGGGAGCAAACAGGAUUAGAUACCCUGGUAGUCCUAGCCGUAAACGAUGGGCACUAGGUGUUGGGUCUUUCGGGGCCCAGUGCCGUAGGUAACCCGUUAAGUGCCCCACCUGAGGAGUACGGCCGCAAGGUUGAAACUCAAAGGAAUUGACGGGGGCCAGCACAAGCGGUGGAACAUGUGGUUUAAUUCGAUGCUACGCGAAGAACCUUACCCAGGCUUGACAUGCAGGAAGUAGGAACCUGAAAGGGGGACGACUCGUAACCAGUCGAGAGCUUGCACAGGUGCUGCAUGGCUGUCGUCAGCUCGUGCCGUGAGGUGUUGGCUUAAGUGCCAAAACGAGCGCAACCAUCGCUCACUGUUGCGACCAGGUCCGCAAGGAUGCUGAGCACUCUGUGGGGACUGCCAGCGACGAGCUGGAGGAAGGUGGUGAUGACGUCAAGUCCGUACGGCCUUUAUGCCUGGGGCGACACACGUGUUACAAUCCCCGCGACAGCGCGCUGCGACACCGCGAGGUGAAGCUAAUCGCUUAAAAGCGGGGUCAGUUCAGAUUGCAGGCUGCAACCCGCCUGCAUGAAGCCGGAAUCGCUAGUAACGGCGGAUCAGCUACGCCGCCGUGAAUACGUUCCCUGGCCUUGUACACACCGCCCGUCAAGCGAUGGGAGCUGGAAGCACCCGAAGUCGGUGCGCCAACCCGCAAGGGAGGCAGCCGCCGAAGGUGAGUCUGGUGACUGGCGCUAAGUCGUAACAAGGUAGCCCCACGGGAACGCGGGGCUGGAUCACCUCCUUUCUAAGGA
rnacentral:rRNA from 3 species